rnacentral:lncRNA from 1 species
GAUCAGGAACAAUAUAAGGAUGCUCCUCCCACCACUUCUAGUCAACAUAGCUCUGGAGGUGCUAGACAGAAGAAUUAGUGUCCCCACAGAAAAGAAGAACGUAUGGAUUUUCCAGGAAGCAACUCUGCCACAAGCUGUGACAAGCAGAGCCUCUUCUAAAGUGCCUUGAGGAUGGCCAUGGCCCCUGCUCCUGCCCACUGCCUCUCUGCAGAACUCCAACAUUGUGAAGCCCAGUCCCUGGCUGAGGUCAUCUGGUUCUGCAUCUCCUUCCUCUGUCCUCUCUGUCUCUCAACAGUGUUUCCCUCACAGAUGUUUUCCACAAAGAACUGCUGUGCUCUCACUCAACUUCACUGUUGAUGCUCCCACACUUUAUUUGCGCAUUGGACUUGCAAAAGUUCAAGAUUUAUAGGGUG